CCGUUUGCACUGCGCGUCCCGUGGCCAGACUGCAAACCACAACUGUUUCUAUGGUGCUACAUCAGAGGCCAAGGAGCAGCCAAUCAGACGGCUCGUGUGGGAGCAUGUGGGUUGUGGUGGCUGAGAGAGUGAGUUGCUGAACUUACUUUUGGUUUGCUGUGGAGUUGCUGCAGGGAGGAGGACAGAGAGCUCUUCACUCAGACAAGAGGAGAGGACAACUCAUCAUUUUCAAUGGAAUGACUACUAGUUUCUGUCCAGAGUCAGUGUGGUUGGUGUGCCUUUGAAGCUAUUGAGAUCAAUCACUUCCAUUUGUAUUGUGAUACAUCAGUUGCUUCAUGUUAUAUGGGUGGGAGGUGAGCAAACGAGGAGGAAGGGUCAGAAAGAAUUAGUUUUUGACAUCUGGACAGAACUUGAGCUGUGGAGAGAAGAUUGAGUUGCCAUGGCUGAUAAUGUUAUUGAAGAGAGCGGUAAUUACCCUGGAAAGGAUGAGCUGGACUGGGGAUAUGAAGAAGGUGUUGAAUGGGGUCUUCUGUUUCCUGAGGCCAAUGGAGAGUACCAGUCCCCCAUAAACCUCAACUCACGCGAGGCUCGCUAUGACCCGAGGCUGCUGGAGGUGGGGCUUAACCCAAACUAUGUGGUCUGCCGGGACUGUGAAGUCAUUAAUGAUGGUCACACUGUGAGGAUCAUGCUUAAAUCCAAAUCUGUUGUGACUGGAGGUCCUCUCCCCAGUGACCAUGAGUACGAGCUGAGCGAGGUGCGCUUUCACUGGGGCAAAGAGAACCAGAGGGGAUCCGAACACACUGUCAACUUCAAGGCUUUUCCAAUGGAGCUUCAUCUAAUACACUGGAACUCUACAUUAUUCAACAGCGUGGAGGAGGCCAUGGGCAAGAAAAGAGGCAUUCUCAUCAUCGCCCUGUUUGUGCAGGUUGGGAAGGAACAUCUUGGUCUGAAGGCCAUCACAGACGUCCUGCAGGACCUGCAGUAUAAGGGGAAGACAAAAAUAAUUCCAUGUUUUAACCCCAACACAUUACUGCCUGAUCCUCUAUUAAGAGAUUACUGGGUGUAUGAGGGCUCUUUAACCACUCCACCCUGUAGUGAGAACGUCACCUGGAUUCUGUACCGUUACCCUCUGACCAUCUCUCAGAUGCAGAUUGAAGAGUUUCGUCGUCUCAGGUCGCAUGUUAAAGGAGCAGAGCUUCCAGAAGGCAAUGACGGGAUGCUGGGGGACAACUUUAGACCGACCCAACCACUGAGCGACAGGGUGGUCAGGGCAGCUUUCCAGUAACACCUCCGCAGCGGGACCAUUUUAAUCUGCCAUGGUGACAAAUGAGAUACUGGAUCUAUUAGACAUGACAAAGAAAUCAAGAUAAAGGCUGAACAACAUCCUGGCUAUGUGAAAGUUCAUCACUUCCUCUAGCGCUGGGCAUCCUUUUCUAUUUCAGUGUCCUGAGUGCGGCCCAAUGUGUGCAGAAGCUACUUUUACAUUUCAUUUGAAACACAUUAAAACUGGAAGCUGGAGAAAGCCAGUGAGCAUGAAGAAACACUCUGUGAUACGUUUGUAUGAAGAAGGACUUACGCUUGAAGAAUGUUGCUAGAAUUUAACAACAUGUAGCAUGUGUGUAAUCUUAUAAAUGCUGCUUUAUAGGAAUAUCAUACAAUAACUGGCACAUGAUGUUGGCAUUACUGACAAACUUAAUAUUACAUGAACAGAUACCGUUUACUGAUGUUUUCAUGUCUGUGCAUUGAACGCUUUUAAAUGUUAUAAUUGAAAUUAAUUAAUGCUGUUGAAUUUACUGAUUUACUAAAGCUCCAAACAUUGUUUUGAUGAGUUUAUUUUCUUUACCUGUGCUACAAUGAACAGAAUAUGAAGGACCAUGUAUGUAUUAGACACUGUUAGUGUUAGCUUUAGAUCUGCACUGAUAGUCUGUACUAGUUAUUAUGCUCACAUCUGCAUAUUUAAGAAGGUGGCACACAGCAUUUCCACUGGUCUUUUGUUCUGUAAUUAUCUUGCUUUAUGCAACGUUUUAGAAAGGUUGCCCAUUUGUAGAGCUGCAAAAAAGGAAACAUGAUUCAUUGAGAGAUAUGUGUGUCUGUAUGUCUUUUUUUUUUAACAUGACGAGCCACAGAUUGUGCAGUUCUCAUGGGAAACCACGUUCAGAUAAAAAGAACUGCUGUUGCGUACCUUGAAAUCCCCUUUGCAUGAUAAUGAUUGACAUCUAAGGGCAAGGAUCUGCAGCCUGGCAUUUACAACAGAAAUCAGACUGUCAUUGCUCACUGGGAUUUCCACUGUAUAUUUUGUGCAGCAGUACUCAUGUUGUCACAUGCUUAUGUUUAUAUUUUAAUUAAAGGUAAUGCUUUUAAUGCAUUUUAUGUUACACCUUGUUAUAUUAAAAGGCUAUGUGUCAUUCAUUUUUUAAUUAGGGCUGUUAAUGGAUUAAACAUUUUUU